CCAUGUGAGGGCGAUCUGGCUGCGACGUCUGUCACCCCAUUGAAAGCCAGCGUUGAUUCGGCUGAUCUGGCUGGCUAGGCGGGUGUCCCCUUCCUCUCUCACCUCUGCUCCACGUGCACCCCUCUCCAAGCUGCGUGCUCAGUAGAAGAGGACAGCCUUCCCCAAAUAGAGACUGACCAGUCUUCGGUCUAGGGUAUACGAGUAGCUGCGUUCCCCUGACAGAACCUCCAAACAAGAUCUCAAAUGCAAAGUAGACACCUUAAAAUCUUGCAUUAUAUCUCCAGCCACAAAAUAUUUUU
rnacentral:snRNA from 1 species